rnacentral:rRNA from 1 species
AUUGAACGCUGGCGGCAGGCCUAACACAUGCAAGUCGAACGAGUGGCGGACGGGUGAGGAAUGUCUGGGAAACUGACUGAUGGAGGGGGAUAACUACUGGAAACGGUAGCUAAUACCGCAUACCAUCAGAUGUGCCCAGAUGGGAUUAGCUUGUUGGGGGGGUAACGGCUCACCAAGGCGACGAUCCCUAGCUGUUCUGAGCGGAUGACCAUCCACCUGGGAACUGCGAUACGUUCCAUCCUCCUACGAGAGGCAGCAGUGGGGAAUAUUGCACAAUGGGCGCAAGCCUGAUGCAGCCAUGCCGCGUUGAUGAAGAAGGCCUUCGGGUUGUAAAGUACUUUCAGCGGGGAGGCGUUACCCGCAGAAGAAGCACCGGCUAACUCCGUGCCAGCAGCCGCGGUAAUUC